GAAGGACCUAUUUGGAAUAAAAAUGAAAGUAGAGUGGCGGCUUUUUGGAAAUUGAUGUUUAGGCUUCUGGGAGAAAGGUGAUGACUUUCAUCUUUUCUUCAUAUUUCUACAUAAUUACCGAAAUAUCUUCUAAUUUAAUAAUUAAAAAUAAAUAUUUGCAAUUUAAUCCACCAAUUAUAAUUUGACACAAUUUCAUCAUUUCAUCAUUAUGUUUCCAUAAUUAUCUUAUUCAACUAAUUACUAUUUUAUCCCUUAUCUUAUCAACAAUACCAUGCAUGAUUCAUGCUUCAUCUUGGUCAAAUUUCACUUCUAGUCCUUCCUUUAUUUCCCAAUUCCGUGUAAUCUUUUCUAAUAUUUAAUUUUCUACUUUUACCACAAUACUUUCUAUUCUUCUACAAUUUAAUCAAUAUCUCAAAUCAAUUUUCUUCAUCUAAAAAGUAUUACCUAAUUUUUGACCGACUCUAACUACUUCCUAUACCAACACCCAAAAUUUCAUAUUUAUUCCAUUUCUAAAUUCUCUAAUAUUCUUAACCUGGCAUAACACUAUGACCUACAGUCAAAUGUAGUAGCCAAUUUGGGUCAAUUCUAC
rnacentral:lncRNA from 1 species